GUUAUACAAUGUUUAGGGGCAUCCCUGGCUUCUAGCCCUGAAAUGCCAGUAGCAACUUCACCACCACAACCAAACAUGACAACCAGAAAUGUCUCUUAACAUUGCCAAAUGUCUCUUGAUGGGCAGGAUCCCUCCUUUGAGAGUCACUGUGCUCUAGUACAACAUCUAUCCAACAAAGGAGCUUGGAGAGGCAAAUGGCUCAAUGUGUUCUUUGCAUCCCUUGUUAAAUUUCAGAGCCUUCAGUGUUAGAGAGCUAGAACCAAUAGAAAAAUAAUGUGAACUUAUCUGUGGGUAUUUGUCUGGCUUUUGGGUAUGGACCCCUCAGAACUGGCAAUCAAAGACCACCAAAAAAUAAGAAAUACAUGCCUCAACAUUUGAGUAGCUCUUAAAAUUCUUCAGUCUUAAUAUAAAUGUACUUUUGCAUUAGAACGUUUUCAUAUUCUUUGCCGUCUAGAGCCCUUAAUAGAUCAUAUUCUGGUUUUCAAGUCUCUCCUGAAAGGAAAGGGACAUUUUAAACCCACUUAGAAGGACUAUUUGAAUUCUGAACUUCAAGCCUUCAGGGAUUACAUUUUCUUAUUGUUUGAUGGGAGAGAUCUCUUCUGGAGGUUCUUUAGAAGAUUGGGAUAUAGCUGUUCAGAAAACUGAAACCCGAUUAGCUCGUGUCAAUGAGCAGAGAAUGAAGGCUGCAGAGAAGGAAGCAGCCCUUGUGCAGCAAGAAGAAGAAAAGGCUGAACAACGGAAAAGAGCCCGGGCCGAGAAGAAAGCGUUAA
rnacentral:sRNA from 1 species